AUACAUCGAAAAUCCGCUAGAGGUCGGUCCCAAAAGGGGGUUCUGAGUGCCUGACAACUGUGAGCUGAUAACGGGCUGCGCCCGAGUGGAAUUGGACGUCUUGGCCAUGAUCUGACACGCGCAUCUCU